ACUCCAGCCCAUGCGCAUUGUCCACUCCACUGAGCACCGGAUCCCAGGGGCCCAACAUGGCUGAAAAGUCCUUCAAAGCAGCCAGGUGGAACUAGGGAAAAGUUCAGCAUAACAGCCGUCCUGCAUGUGACUCCAAUCGGCAUGCGACAGUGUCACGGAUAACGCGAGUGAAAUUUGCUUCGUCGUUCUCCAUUCCACCCAUCGUGACUGACAGCUCGACGUUCAAUAAUUCAUCCGGCCUGGGCUGUGUGAAGAGCUCAUGGAGGUCAUAAAUCGGCAACAAUCACUUCAAGACGGUGCCGUGUCUAAGGUUUAAGGCAAAUAAGUCAUAAGGUUGUAUGACGCUUCUCAAUUUUGCAAUGAAUUUAAAGUUGGACGUUACAAAAUGAACACCUUUUGCAUCUCGUGUAUUUGCGGUAUGUUACAUUGCAGAGAUUUACAGUUGGACUAUUGGUCACAUUUUUAACCUAGUGGCCUGUUAGAUUAGUUAAUAGAGUGCUUUUAAAAGCAAGUCAUCCAGCGAAUAAAUCACACAAACAUUUCCCUUAAAAUAGAUCCCAAAGCACCUGAUCCAUCUGUUGUAGGCGCGUCAGAAUACUGUGUCAAGCAUAUUUGGGGCAACCGGGGUUGGAGACCACAUCACUUGUUGCGUGCAAAUACAGAAGCAGAAGACAAGCUAUUUUUUUUUUUUUAAAUCGUUGGUGUUUAUUUUAAUACUCAAACAUGAGAAAUGCAUAAAUCAUCACUUGUUUCCACACAUCAUUAAUAUCAAGUAUGCUUGUGAAAUACACUGUAAUUCGUUUUGGCUGCAAGCUUCGACGUGUCUGAAAACAGCUGUAACUACAGCUUUAAAUUAACUGUUUUAGACUGAAAAAUAGUUGUGAUUAGUUGUGAGUUUCAAAAUACCGUUUAGUGAAUUUAUUGACACUUUUCAUAACAUGAAAUGAAUUUAAUUCAUGAUGUAACCGUGACGUCCCGUUUCACAUUGCUGAAAUGGCUUCCUGUCACUUGUAGAGAGAAGGAGGCCUCACCUGCAAUGUGAAACCUGCUUUUAUUUCUUGGAAAAGAAACAAGAAACCAAACCACUGAAGUGCCUGCAGUGCUGCAGGUGCGAAUAUCUGUUUGCCUGUAAGCAUGAUUAAUAGUAAUGAAAUGUGGGACUUCUCCCAAUACGGAACAAUCACCCAUUCCUUGACGUCAUCAACCAACAAACACAACAUGUCAUGCCUGGUAAGUUAUGAAAAAAAUAUUUGUAGGUAAGGAGUCUCAUGGAAAAUUGAUUUAUUGCCUAUGUGCAUUACUGAGAUGAUGUACGAUCAUUACCAUUUGAGAAUUGAAAAUUAUGUUUGUUGAUCAAAUUGAAAUCUGAAUUGAUUUUAGGUACUUAUUAAAUGACAUUUAGCUAGCUGU